GCAGAUGGAGCUCCAAUGGGGUUUUGGUUAAGGACCCAUCUGAGUCGGGCUGGCGACUUUAAAACUAGCGCUGCAUGGGAGGCAACCCAUGUUUUUCUUGCUUUAUUCUUUGCCCUUGUUUUUCUCUUGCUUUGUUUGAGUUGUGUUUCUGUUGUUUUUUUGUGUUUGUGCAGGUUGGUGCUUGGGUAUGAUAGUUUGUGUGGAUAGAGACAGGCAGACAUCGUGGGACACUACAAACUCAC
rnacentral:lncRNA from 1 species